rnacentral:rRNA from 1 species
CAUUACCGAGUUAUACAACUCCCAAACCCACUGUGAACCUUACCUCAGUUGCCUCGGCGGGAACGCCCCGGCCGCCGGCCCCCGCGCCGGCGCCGGACCCAGGCGCCCGCCGCAGGGACCCCAAACUCUCUUGCAUUACGCCCAGCGGGCGGAAUUUCUUCUCUGAGUUGCACAAGCAAAAACAAAUGAAUCAAAACUUUCAACAACGGAUCUCUUGGUUCUGGCAUCGAUGAAGAACGCAGCGAAAUGCGAUAAGUAAUGUGAAUUGCAGAAUUCAGUGAAUCAUCGAAUCUUUGAACGCACAUUGCGCCCGCCAGCAUUCUGGCGGGCAUGCCUGUUCGAGCGUCAUUUCAACCCUCGAGCCCCCCCGGGGGCCUCGGUGUUGGGGGACGGCACACCAGCCGCCCCCGAAAUGCAGUGGCGACCCCGCCGCAGCCUCCCGGGGGUAGCACACACCUCGCACCGGACGGGAGCGUAGUCAAAAAGGAACUUAUAGAGUGAGAUGAAAGGAAAGUAGGAAUACCCGCUGAACUUAACCAUAUCAAUAAGCGGAGGAAGCCCGCAGAUAGAGAAAUGAAGUAAUUUGUAAAUAGGAAAAGAAACUUGCUCUGCUUGUUACCAUCAUAUCAUAUUGAGGU